UGAUGCAGCGACGCCGCGUGAGGGAUGACGGCCUUCGGGUUGUAAACCUCUUUCAGCAGGGAAGAAGCGCAAGUGACGGUACCUGCAGAAGAAGCACCGGCUAACUACGUGCCAGCAGCCGCGGUAAUACGUAGGGUGCGAGCGUUGUCCGGAAUUAUUGGGCGUAAAGAGCUUGUAGGCGGUUUGUCGCGUCUGCUGUGAAAAUCCGGGGCUCAACCCCGGACUUGCAGUGGGUACGGGCAGGCUAGAGUGUGGUAGGGGAGACUGGAAUUCCUGGUGUAGCGGUGGAAUGCGCAGAUAUCAGGAGGAACACCGAUGGCGAAGGCAGGUCUCUGGGCCACUACUGACGCUGAGAAGCGAAAGCAUGGGGAGCGAACAGGAUUAGAUACCCUGGUAGUCCAUGCCGUAAACGUUGGGCGCUAGGUGUGGGACCCAUUCCACGGGUUCCGUGCCGCAGCUAACGCAUUAAGCGCCCCGCCUGGGGAGUACGGCCGCAAGGCUAAAACUCAAAGGAAUUGACGGGGGCCCGCACAAGCGGCGGAGCAUGCGGAUUAAUUCGAUGCAACGCGAAGAACCUUACCAAGGCUUGACAUACACCGGAAUCACUCAGAGAUGGGUGCGUCUUCGGACUGGUGUACAGGUGGUGCAUGGUUGUCGUCAGCUCGUGUCGUGAGAUGUUGGGUUAAGUCCCGCAACGAGCGCAACCCUCG
rnacentral:rRNA from 1 species